rnacentral:rRNA from 1 species
UACGUAGGAGGCAAGCGUUGUCCGGAUUUACUGGGCGUAAAGAGCGCGCAGGCGGUCGUGCAAGUCGCGUGUGAAAGCCCCCGGCUCAACUGGGGAGGGUCACGCGAUACUGCUCGACUCGAAGGCAGGAGAGGGAAGUGGAAUUCCCGGUGUAGUGGUGAAAUGCGUAGAUAUCUGGAGGAACACCGGUGGCGAAGGCGGCAUCCUGGACCAAUAUUGACGCUGAGGAGCGAAAGCCAGGGGAGCAAACGGG